ACUACUUGACAGCAUUUCUCUAUUUCUAAAUUGAUCUGCUUAGAUGCCAAUCAACGAAAGUGAUUUGUCGCCGCCCAUUUGUCAGUGUACAAAACACUCAUCUGAGCGAUUGUCAACCGUCUCUCAGCACUCCUAUCCCCGCGAUAAGAAUAAGCCAUGCUCAACACUUUUUUGUCUUCCACCUCCCUUUAGAUUAAUCACUGAGACUGAGGACGGCCUGAUGAAUUGCUGACCACUGGCUGCUGUCCACCGUCCACCGUCCACUGUCCAUAUUGACUCAUUUGGCGCGAUCCCGAUUUGGCUUCGGAUUGAAUGGGCUAAGUGGCUGGACUUUGAAGAUCUAGCUGCGGAUAAGCCGCUGAUGAAUAUGUUCAAUGAAUGAAAAAUGUUGCGGCCAUAGCUAUUUUAAUUAUGCUCGCUCAACUGUAUAAAGUUAUGUAUAUGUAUAUGGUGUGCCCUAUGGUGCACGCGGACACGCAGACCUCGACAAAAAAAGGGCCACACUCGUUGCGGUCUCCUCGGCUCACCUGUAUACCUAUAUGUAUGUAUAUUUUCUGCCCACUUGGCCGACACCUGCCCGUGUAAAUUACCCAACAAAGCGUUCCAAGUUGCUCCACGCGACACUUUUGGCUUGGCCAUAUGCUAAAGUAUCUAUCCAGGGGGAAGACUCCAAAGACUGGGAGUGAUUUAGCCAGCCAGCCAGUUAGCCAGCCAGCUAGCCAGCCAGCCCGGUGGUCUAAUUAGAAACGAUCUUGUCAAUUAGCCAGCGAACUGGCCACCGGGGAAAGAAAUGGAAGGUGGGCUAAACUCAGGCCCCAAACCAUGUCAUGUUGUCUCUGGAGUUUUUACCGAAAUUGUGUUCGAGCCUGUGUUAAUUUUUUCUCGGUCGGCCACUUGAUCGAUGCGAAUACACGGUUUGGGAGAAAUUAUAUAGCUGCUGUGGCGCGGUCGAUUCAAAUUUUUCAAUUUCUCAAAACCCCAAAAAGCAACAAACGAAAAAAAAACAUACAGUGAGCAGUACAUGUUGUCCAGCGGGAUGCGAGUUGUCCCCAGAGAAGAUGCGGUGCGCAGGUGACUGUGGUCCGAUUUACCUGGAAUUCGACGCUUAACUAAUGAUGCUCAUCAGGCUGCUCAAUGGACCCAAUACCAAUCCCAAUACCAAUACCAAUCCCAAUCCCAAUGCUCGCCGGCUACCGUAUCUUCGAUCUCCGGCGAGCAGUGUGUUUCCAUGGAAGAUCGGCGCAACGCCAAACGAAAAUCAAUUUUCAAACCGCGCUUAAUUACCCAUUAUGAAAAAUUGCAGUCGUUAAUGUUUUCGGUUGCCUAUCAAAAUCAGUUUUUCCAAAUAAAACAAAAAAAAAAGGGGGGGAGAGAAGAGGAAUGAGGAUCACCAUUCACCAUGAUCAGCGUCAUCAUCAUCUGAGGCAGCAGCAGCGUGGACCGUUGAGCGUUGAGCGUGUAAAAUGCUUUUCCGCGUCUCCGACUCGCAGAAACCUUUGGCCCUGUUGCAAAAUGCGGCAGCCACAACAACUGAAAAAGCUCAAGGGGAGGAGGGCAGCGGCCGGAACAACAACGAUUUUCUACACUGA